AUGACUGCAAUUUUAGAGAGACGCGAAAGUACAAGCCUGUGGGGUCGCUUCUGCAACUGGAUAACUAGCACUGAAAAUCGUCUUUACUUCGGAUGGUUCGGUGUUUUGAUGAUCCCUACCUUAUUGAUCGCAACUUCUGUAUUUAUUAUCGCCUUCAUCGCUGCCCCUCCAGUAGAUAUUGAUGGUAUUCGUGAGCCUAUUUCUGGUUCUUUACUUUAUGGAAACAAUAUUAUCUCUGGUGCUAUUAUCCCUACUUCUGCGGCGAUCGGAUUGCACUUUUACCCAAUUUGGGAAGCUGCAUCUGUUGAUGAGUGGUUAUACAAUGGUGGUCCUUAUGAGCUAAUUGUUCUACACUUCUUAAUUGGUGUAGCUUGUUAUAUGGGUCGUGAGUGGGAACUUAGUUUCCGUCUGGGUACGCGUCCUUGGAUUGCUGUUGCAUAUUCAGCUCCUGUUGCAGCUGCUACUGCUGUUUUCUUGAUUUACCCUAUUGGUCAAGGAAGCUUUUCUGAUGGUAUGCCUUUAGGAAUCUCUGGUACUUUCAACUUUAUGAUUGUAUUCCAGGCAGAGCACAACAUCCUUAUGCAUCCAUUCCACAUGUUAGGUGUAGCUGGUGUAUUCGGCGGUUCCCUAUUCAGUGCUAUGCAUGGUUCCUUGGUAACCUCUAGUUUGAUCAGGGAAACUACUGAAAAUGAAUCUGCUAAUGAGGGUUACAAAUUUGGUCAAGAGGAAGAAACUUAUAAUAUUGUGGCUGCUCAUGGUUAUUUUGGCCGAUUAAUCUUCCAAUAUGCUAGUUUCAACAACUCUCGUUCUUUACACUUCUUCUUGGCUGCUUGGCCUGUAGUAGGAAUCUGGUUCACUGCUUUAGGUAUUAGUACUAUGGCUUUCAACCUAAAUGGUUUCAAUUUCAACCAAUCUGUAGUUGAUAGUCAAGGUCGCAUUAUUAAUACUUGGGCUGAUAUCAUCAACCGUGCUAACCUUGGUAUGGAAGUAAUGCACGAACGUAAUGCUCACAACUUCCCUCUAGACUUAGCUGCUGUUGAAGUUCCAUCUAUUAAUGGAUAA
rnacentral:rRNA from 1 species